rnacentral:rRNA from 1 species
CAGGCCUAACACAUGCAAGUCGAGGGGUAACAGGGUUUUCGGACCGCUGACGACCGGCGCACGGGUGCGUAACGCGUAUGCAACCUACCUUUAACAGGAGCAUAGCCCCGAGAAAUCGGGAUUAAUACUCCAUAACAACAAGAAGUGGCAUCACUUUUUAUUUAAAGCUUUGGCGGUUAAAGAUGGGCAUGCGUGACAUUAGUUAGUUGGUGAGGUAACGGCUCACCAAGACAUCGAUGUCUAGGGGUUCUGAGAGGAUUAACCCCCACACUGGUACUGAGACACGGACCAGACUCCUACGGGAGGCAGCAGUGAGGAAUAUUGGUCAAUGGGCGCAAGCCUGAACCAGCCAUGCCGCGUGAAGGAUGAAGGCCUUAUGGGUUGUAAACUUCUUUUAUACGGGAAUAAACUUAGCUA